rnacentral:lncRNA from 1 species
GGAAAUAAAUAUUUUGUUUGGCUUUUUUUAAAAAAGUUGUGAAGAGAAUACAUUCCUCCAAAGGUUUAAGAUGUAAUGCUUGCUUUUUUCUUUUUCUUUUUUAAUUUCUUUAUCAUCAUUAUAAUUAAUGUAAAAUACCCAUAAUUAUUGUGAGAAUCCAUAAAUUUUUGGUUGAGUCCUCAAAAAAAUUCCCUACAUAUCCUAACAUUAAGGGAGUGCAAACCUUAUCAAUACAGCAUGCCAUGUGAUCCAAAUUCCUUACUCCAUACUUGCUAUUCAGAAUGUACCUAGUAUUGCACAAUGCCAUAGCAUUUCAUUUCAGUUCUCAAGCAUUUCAUGACAAAUCAACACACUUCAAAAGUUGAAGACAAUUGUGUAAUAAGACUGGCAAGACUGGACUGCAAGUUUGUAGUGCAAGCCCCCCACAAAUAAAUAUACAAACAUGGAUUGGUGCAAACACAGUUCAGUGUGAGAAGGUUAUGUGCAGCCACAUUUGUUUGGUGAGAGGAUCUAAUUAACUGUGUGGUCUUGUGUGUCUGCCCUUCUUUUGAGGGUCCCCCCCCCUACACCCUCCAUGUCAGGCUGGGCUAUUAAUCUGACAGUGGGGAUGGGUGUUCGAGAGGGUUCUAGAAGCUCUCGCAAGGGUGUCAGAAUCUCAGGAUGCGCCGCUUUGAAACAGAAAAGUUGAUGACAGCAGGAGCAUGAUGGCAUUCUCCAAAGGUGUUAAAAAUAAGAGGAGAAGCUCGAAUCAAUGAAGUCCACCAAA